UCUGGCGACCAUAGCGAGUGUGAACCACCUGAUCCCUUCCCGAACUCAGAAGUGAAACCACUCCGCGCCAAUGGUAGUGUGGCAUUCGCCAUGUGAGAGUAGGUCAUCGCCAGAC
rnacentral:rRNA from 1 species